UCCACCAAACCCUAAUCAUUCGGGGGCGGUGGCUCGCCCGCCCGCCCGCCAACCGACCUCAAUCGGAGACCGCCCGGUGGUUGCGCCCUCGCCCGCGCGGAGGCGCCGGUGGUCAAGACCGGCGGAGGCUGCGUGUGCCGUGAGGCGAAAGGAGCAGGAGCAGGAGGAGGACGAGGGGGCGUUGAUUCUGUGCGGAACAGGGACGAUGUGGAGGUUGGAGGAGAUGGGGAGGUGACGGUGAAUGGGAGCAGCGGGACGCUGCGGGGGCGAGCUUUCUACAUGGAUGCCAGCCGCUAUACCGAUGGGAGCGAGGGGCGCCGCCGCCACACCAACGGGAGCGAGGGCCGCCGCCGCCGCUCCUCCUCUGAUGGACAUGCUGCACGGACGCGAGCGCGGGCUGCUGCAGCAGCUCGCCGGACCAUCUCUGACGCAUGCGAGGCCCACGCACUAACGAAUCUGCACUUUCCCAUAUAUAUACCACGAGGUACUCCUGAAGUUGCAAGAAAAAUACUACAGAAAAGCUUGUGAACUUUUGGAGGAUGUUUUGAAGACUAACAAUUGAAGAUUUACUACAUUUAAGCACCCUGGUUAAACCCAUGUAUGCCUUUUAGUUUUUCGGGCAAAACCUAAGUAUGCCUUAACAAGGAGAUUUGUAAAUUUGUAUAUUCUUUCUUGUGUACAAGGUAUUGGACCGAUGUAUGCUUCUAUUCUUGUAUUUACUUCUUGCUUGGACACUUGAACUAAUGUAUGGGUGAUGUUUACUGACCAA